AGAGUUUGAUUCUGGCUCAGAACGAACGCUGGCAGCGUGGAUUAGGCAUGCAAGUCGAACGGGAAGCCAUGGAUUCAAUCUUUCGGGAGAGAAUCUGUGGUGGAGAGUGGCGAAAGGGUGAGUAACGCGUGGGUAACCUACCUCAAAGCGGGGGAUAACUUUCCGAAAGGGGAGCUAAUACCGCAUGUGAUGGUUUCUCGCAUGGGAGACUAUUAAAAGUGGGGAUCCUUCGGGACCUGCUGUUUUGAGAGGGACCCGCGUACCAUCAGCUUGUUGGUAGGGUAACGGCCUACCAAGGCUUACGGUUAGCUGGUCUAGAGGAUGGUCAGCCACACUGGGACUGAGACACUGCCCAGACUCCUACGGGAGGCUGCAGUCGAGGAUCAUUUGCAAUGCGCGAAAGCGUGACAAUGCGACGCUGCGUGGAGGAUGACGGCCUUCGGGUUGUAAACUCCUGUCAUUUGGGAAAAAUAGCCCUAUCCUUAAUAGGGACGGGGUUUGAUGGUACCAAAAGAGGAAGCCACGGCUAACUCUGUGCCAGCAGCCGCGGUAAUACAGAGGUGGCGAGCGUUGUUCGGAUUUACUGGGCGUAAAGCGUGCGUAGGUUGUCCUGUAUGUCGGAUGUGAAAUCCCACCGCCCAACGGUGGACGUGCAUUCGAAACUGCAGGGCUUGAGUGCAGGAGGGGAGAGCGGAAUUCUUGGUGUAGCGGUGAAAUGCAUUGAUAUCAAGAGGAACACCGGUGGCGAAGGCGGCUCUCUGGAAUGCAACUGACACUGAGGCACGAAAGCUGGGGGAGCAAACAGGAUUAGAUACCCUGGUAGUCCCAGCUGUAAACGGUGUGAACUUGGUGUGGGCGGUAUUGACCCCGCCCGUGCCGGAGCUAACGCGUUAAGUUCACCGCCUGGGGAGUACGGCCGCAAGGCUAAAACUCAAAGAAAUUGACGGGGGCCCGCACAAGCGGAGGAGCAUGUGGCUUAAUUCGAUGCAACGCGAAGAACCUUACCAGGGCUUGACAUGUAGCUGCACGCCUCCUGAAAGGGAGGAAGCCUUCGAGGGUGCUACACAGGUGCUGCAUGGCUGUCGUCAGUUCGUGCCGUGAGGUGUUGGGUUAAGUCCCGCAACGAACGCAACCCUUGUGCCUAGUUGCCACCGCAGGUGAUGAGCCUGCGAGCACUCUAGGCAGACUGCCCGUACAAGCGGGAGGAAGGUGGGGACGACGUCAAGUCAGUAUGGCCCUUACGCCCUGGGCUGCACACGUGCUACAAUGGUUGGUACAGAAAGAUGCAAUACCGCGAGGUGGAGCAAAUCUCCAAAACCAACCUCAGUUCGGAUUGGAGUCUGAAACUCGACUCCAUGAAGUCGGAUUCGCUAGUAAUGGCGCAUCAGCUACGGCGCCGUGAAUACGUUCCCGGGCCUUUUACACACCGCCCGUCACAUCAUGAAAGCCGUCUGCACCCGAAGUUGCCGAGCUAACUCUCACGAGAGGCAGGUACCGAAGGUGUGGGUGGUGAUUGGGAUGAAGUCGUAACAAGGUA
rnacentral:rRNA from 1 species